rnacentral:piRNA from 1 species
UAUUGUACAAUGUAUUGGCGCCAAAAUG